rnacentral:rRNA from 1 species
CUUACCAUGCAGUCGACGGCAGCACGAGAGAGCUUGCUCUCUUGGUGGCGAGUGGCGGACGGGUGAGUAAUAUAUCGGAACGUGCCUAGUAGCGGGGGAUAACUACUCGAAAGAGUGGCUAAUACCGCAUACGCCCUACGGGGGAAAGGGGGGGAUCGCAAGACCUCUCACUAUUAGAGCGGCCGAUAUCGGAUUAGCUAGUUGGUGGGGUAAAGGCUCACCAAGGCAACGAUCCGUAGCUGGUUUGAGAGGACGACCAGCCACACUGGGACUGAGACACGGCCCAGACUCCUACGGGAGGCAGCAGUGGGGAAUUUUGGACAAUGGGGGAAACCCUGAUCCAGCCAUCCCGCGUGUAUGAUGAAGGCCUUCGGGUUGUAAAGUACUUUUGGCAGAGAAGAAAAGGUACCUCCUAAUACGAGGUACUGCUGACGGUAUCUGCAGAAUAAGCACCGGCUAACUACGUGCCAGCAG